AGGGCACCACCAGGAGUGGAGCCUGCGGCUUAAUUUGACUCAACACGGGGAAACUCACCCGGCCCGGACACGGGGAGGAUUGACAGACCGACAGCUCUUUCAUGAUUCGGGGGAUGGGGGUGCAUGGCCGUUCUUAGUUCGUGGAGCGAUUUGUCUGGUUUAUUCCGAUAACGGGCGAGACUCCAGCCUGCUAAAUAGCGCGAGUAUCGCCUGUGCCCGCGCUUCUUAGAGGGAUCACCGGCGCUAGCCGGCAGAGACGGAGCAAUAACAGGUCUGUGAUGCCCUUAGAUGUCCGGGGCUGCACGCGCGCUACACUGGCGGAGGCAGCGUGCCUGUCCUGCCCCGGCGGGGGCGGCUAAACCCCUCAACGUCCGCCGUGAUUGGGAUCGGGCACUGCAAUUACUGCCCGUGAACGAGGAAUUCCAAGUAAGUGCGAGUCAUCAGCUCGCGCUGAUUACGUCCCUGCCCUUUGUACACACCGCCCGUCGCUGCCCGGGACUGAGCCGUUUCGAGAAAUCC
rnacentral:rRNA from 1 species